GGGAAUUGCUCUUUCAUUGUGUAGGUAGUUUAGGCACCGGGCGACAUUCACAGCAAUCCUCAGCCGAUCAUCAAGAGAUAAAGACUGAAGUUUCCUUGGCUCUGAUUCUGCACAAGACACAAAGAAACGUACAAAGCAGAAGGGGAAAGUUCGAAGAACCUGACAAGCUUUGUAAGUGACGGGACAGCAUGAGGUUAGAAAUGUGGGUGGCUACUUAGGAAUGUGAAGAAACAGCGAAUACUAGAAGAAGCAAAGACAAAGAAACACAGCCAAGAAGUCUAAAACUGGUGAGUGAAGGUAGGAGGGAGUGAAGGAGUGAGAGAGCAUAGCAGAUCAGACAAAGACAGGGAGGAGGAGUAGGUGAGUGGUGUAAUGUUACUAUAUUAUUUGUCAAGUUGGAAGUAUGCAAUAACUAUCAAGAAAAGGACAGGUUUACUUUAAGGCAAUGCCUAGUUACCUGGUAAGAAUAGGAUAAAAAAAUUGAGGUUGAGUUGGCUUCAGAUUAGUUUGUGUUUUUGUAGUUCCUAGAAACAAAGGUUCUACGAAUCCCAAUGCAUUCUUUCUUUGAAUCAGCUCAUCUUUCUGUUGAUGCAGGGAUAUUAAUAGCUGUGCUUGGAUCGUGGUAAAUGUAGAAUAUUUCUUUUAUUUUUCAAAUAAUAUUUUUUUUAUUUUUAAAAU